rnacentral:rRNA from 1 species
UACGGAGGAUGCGAGCGUUAUCCGGAUUUAUUGGGUUUAAAGGGUGCGUAGGCGGACGCUUAAGUCAGCGGUAAAAUUGCGGGGCUCAACCCCGUCGAGCCGUUGAAACUGGGUGCCUUGAGUGGGCGAGAAGUACGCGGAAUGCGUGGUGUAGCGGUGAAAUGCAUAGAUAUCACGCAGAACUCCGAUUGCGAAGGCAGCGUACCGGCGCCCAACUGACGCUGAAGCACGAAGGCGUGGGUAUCGAACAGG